UGGUGGGUAGUUUGACUGGGGCGGUCUCCUCCUAAAGAGUAACGGAGGAGCACGAAGGUUGGCUAAUCCUGGUCGGACAUCAGGAGGUUAGUGCAAUGGCAUAAGCCAGCUUGACUGCGAGCGUGACGGCGCGAGCAGGUGCGAAAGCAGGUCAUAGUGAUCCGGUGGUUCUGAAUGGAAGGGCCAUCGCUCAACGGAUAAAAGGUACUCCGGGGAUAACAGGCUGAUACCGCCCAAGAGUUCAUAUCGACGGCGGUGUUUGGCACCUCGAUGUCGGCUCAUCACAUCCUGGGGCUGAAGUAGGUCCCAAGGGUAUGGCUGUUCGCCAUUUAAAGUGGUACGCGAGCUGGGUUUAGAACGUCGUGAGACAGUUCGGUCCCUAUCUGCCGUGGGCGCUGGAGAACUGAG
rnacentral:rRNA from 1 species